CAGGGUUGUAGCCGUACCCAAUUUGUGGUUUGCUAUCGCCUACAUUGAGCAUCAUGGCUGCGAACGUUCUCGCCUCGAUGCUCGACGAAUUAAUGGGAAGGGAUAGAAAUCUGGCCCCUUCAGAUAGAAAAAAUGAUAUACGAUGGGAUGAUGCAGAAGUAUGUAAAUAUUAUCUGUGUGGUUUUUGUCCACAUGAACUGUUUGUUAACACGAGAGCUGAUUUAGGUCCAUGUGAAAAACUUCAUGAUGAUCAUCUCAAGAAAGAAUAUACAAAAAGUUCCAAAUUUGGAAAAGUUGGUUUUGAAGAAGAUUUUCAUCGUUAUUUACAAAGUUUGGUGUCAGAUUGUGAAAGAAGAAUAAAAAGAGGACAUCAGCGUCUGGCUCUGAGUAACCAACAGGGCAGUUUGAGCAACAAUAUGAAUAUGAUGAAAGAUGAGAAAAUAAAUAUAUUGACAGAAAAAAUCAAUGAUUUAGUUCAGCAGGCAGAAGAACUAGGUUGUGAGGGUAAGGUUGAGGAGGCCCAAGGAGUGAUGAAACUUUGUGAACAACUUAGAGAUGAGAGAAGACAACUAGAGGAGAGUAAGUUAGCCAAUGCAUCAAAUGAACCAGAGAAGACAAUGGAAGUUUGUACAGUAUGUGGUGCAUUGUUAGUGGUAGGAGAUGUACAACAGAGAAUAGAUGAACAUUUAAUGGGGAAACAGCAUGCUGGUUAUGCUAGAAUCAGGUCUUAUGUGGAGGAUUGGAAAAAGAAAAAAGUAAUGGAAGAUGAAGAAAGAGAGUCUAGAUUGGCAAAGGAAAGGGAAGAGAGAGAAAAAGAGCGAGAAAAGGAAAGAGAAGACCGUAAGAAACGAGAUCAAGAAAGGGAAAAAGAAAAAGAAAAGGAAAGAGAAAAAAUAAAAGAGAAAGAAAAAGAAAGACAAAGGGAUAAAGAUAGGGACAGAGAUAGAAAGAAGAGAUCAGAAAGUAAAGAUAGACACAGGCGUAGAAAAAGUAGAAGCAGGAGUCGACAUAGACACAAAUCUAGAAGCCGAUCACGUGACCGAUCUCAUCACCACCGUCGUCGAAGGACUAGGUCACGUUCAAGGGACAAGGACUCAUCAAGGAGAAGAGACCGAGAUAGGAGAAGUAGAGAUGUAAGAAGUCGAGACAAAAGUAGGGAUAAAGAUAGAAGAAGUCGGGAUAGAAGUCGUGACAAGAGAAGUAGAGACAGAAGCAGGGAUAAAGAUAGAAAAGACAGAGACAGAAGGAGUAGGGAUCAUAGAAGUAGAGACAAUGAUCAUAAGAGUAGGGAAAGAAGUAGGGACAAGGAUCAUAAAAGUAGAGAUAGGAGUAGGGACAAGGAUCAUAAAAGUAGAGAAAGAAGUAGAGACAAAGAUCGUAAAAGUAGAGAAAGAAGUAGAGAUAAAGAUCGUAAGAGUAGAGAAAAAAGCAGUGAAAAGGAUCGUAAAAGCAGGGAGAGAAGUAGUGAAAAAGACCAAGAGAAUGGAGAAAAAGAAAAGAGCAUAGAGAAAGAAGACAAACCUGACUCAGUAGAAGAGCCAGAGAUAAAGAAAAGUGAAGAAGGAUCAGAAGUAAAGCCACUAGAAAACAAGGAAAAUCCUGAGAACAUUGAAGAACCCAUGCAAUGAGGAAAGGUGACAUAAAAUAUGAUCCAAAAUGAGGUAAGUGAAGUGUUUUCCAAGGGAGAUAACUCCAGAUUUACAAGGUGAGUGGAUCACUGGGGGGGUCUGUUUAUUAAAAGGAAAUGUGGUCCUUCUAUUAUAAGGUUAACAAUCAGAUACAGCCUCAGAAAUACAGGAUAGAUUUAUAAGAUUAAGUGGCAUCUCUGUCUGGUUUUAAGGACCAACAGAGAAAUAAUUGUUUUAAAAAAUAGCAAAAAAGAACCAAAGCCGUUUUAAUUUUGAAGCAUAUAAACCAAUACCUUUCUCCACAUGUGUCCCAACCUUAACAGUUAAGAGGAGAAAAUUUUAUAAAAUGUUGAAAAAUCAUCUGAAUGUUAACCAACUUGCCUUUGUGUUAAUAACAUUUAAAUUCCUAAUAUGCCUACCUGAUACUCUGAUAUUGGCAGCAAUGGCGAGGUUAGUUCAAUCUUUUAUCGGUUAAUUACACCUUCAGUAAAGAUAAAGAAAACAAAGGUAUGUUUCUCAGAAAUUUUGAUUGUUUGGAGGUAAGUGACACCAUUCUUUUCAAGUAGGAAUUUGUCCAUUUUGGGAAACCAACUCCCUUUGGGUCAGACAACAGAUUUGAUGCUGAAAGUAGAGGUAAGACUGAAAUCAAAACAGAAGAUGUUGGGUGUGUGACUUUGCUCACUAGAGGUGAGUGGCAACUUUUGUUGUUACUAUGACGAACUCAACAUAAAAUAAAUAUUGAGCGUUUAUUUGAUUUCAGUAGAGUGUGUACCAUUUUGAACAGUGUAUAUUGAAUGUUAACAUCAUAAAAAUAAUGUUUAUUUACGAGGUAAGAUUUAAUUUCUCAGAGUGUAAAUGGUGCAGUUAAUGUUUACAAUGUUCAUGUUCUUGUUUACAAAAAAAAGGAUAUUUAAAAAGAUAUGGAGAAAAAAUAACAAAACAUACAUUUUACAGUUAUUUAAACAAUAGAUGAGGCUUGGAACAUCUUAUAAUUUAUUUAAGAAAACAUUAUUUGUUGAGUUUAUAAUACAUGAAUCUUUAUUGUGGUAAAGGUACAUGGGGUUAGUGCUUUCAACCUGGCAAUUGAUAUAUUUCCAAUUUUAUAGCCUCCUCUAUUGCUUUAAGAUUGUUGGAUAAAAAGCCAUGACUUAUAACAGGCAAAUGAUAACCAAAAAUCGGUAUUGUAUGCUUGUUGUGUUUAUUUACAGUACUUCUUUCAACUUUUCUUAAAUCUAUCUUCCUCUAGACUUCAGAUGAUAUGUAGUCCUACUAUGGUACAAUAUGUUGUCAUUCAAAAUUAUGGCAGUCUAGCUCUCAAAAUUUUUCAUUUGAUACACAAACAGACAUUACUUAUAAACAAGAUUUUUAAGUUCACACACAAGUUACACAUGUUUCAAAAAGCCAAACUACACCUUUUUUAUAUAUUUAAAUUUAUUGAAAGCAAGAUUGAUAAAAUCCAGCUAAAGCUUUUAUGAUGACCUAAAACUAAAACUAAAAGAAAACUUAAUAUGAAUUUUUAUUUCUCAAGAGAGUUAGCUUGCCUUUGUAAGGGAAGAGUGCUGCUUCAAGGCUAGAUAUCUUCUGAAGAGAAAAAUUACCAAUUUUUUUGAAUUUUCAUUUUACACAAAUUUUAAAUGCAUUUAAGAAAUCUCAUAAGGAAUAAGGGAAUAUUAUUUAAGAAUUCAAUAUACUGAUAUACUUAUCAUUGGCUUGAAACAUUAAAAAAACAGUAAAUGGAGAACUGCCGGUAGUAACUUUUGCAUUUAAGUAACACAAAAUUUGAAGGUAUAAGAUAUAAGAUUUUUUUUGUCAUUUGUAAAAUGUGUUUUGUUUGCUGUUUAUUGUAACAAUUCUUAGAUAAGUUUUUCAAAUUUCAAAUAUGGAAACAAUGUAGGAAACGUACUAGUAAAUCUGAGUUCCAUUGUGAAAUUGUUGAAGAUAAAAUAUUAAUUUUGUGAUAAUGAUGACAAUAUAGGAAGGAACUUCUCAAAUUAGAUCAUUAUGGAAUACACGAAACAGAGAUUUACUCUUAGAAUUGAGAUCUGUAAUAAGAACAUUUUAAAUAAGGUUUAGAAAUAUGAUAGGAGCAGAUGCUAUCAUAUAUCAUUCUGUAUUCUUAUUGAAUAAUUAGUUGGUGUUGAAUAGAAAAAUUUAUAGGAUAAAAUCAUGAAUGAAAUGAGAAAGCAGACACAAAUACUCAAAAGCAUGUUAGAGAGAAGUGUGUGAUUUUAAUAUGAACUGUUUACUUCAUGUUAUGUGAAUGGUUUUCUUUAUCCCACUGAAUGAUUGAACAAGCUUUCUAGAAAGCAGAACUGGACAGGAGAAAAGGCGUCAACCAUUAUGGAUGAUAAAGGGAACAUUGUAAUAGAGUGAGGAAGCCAUUGCAGGAUGAGUGUGAAUUGCCAUUGUACAUACAGAUACAUUUCCAUUUUCUACUGACCAUUGCGACAGAGAAAUCUGCUGUUGAACAUUAAUCUGUUAUUGAGUCAUUUCAUAUACUUGUUGAUCCAAUUGCUUGAACAAUAAAAUUGUAUAAAGUUUUAA